CGGGGCGAGCUACGCCGGCCGCCGACGGGAGGUAUGCGGAAGCGCUGCGGCCGGGAACUACAUUUCCCACAAGUCUGCGGGGCCGGGCGUCGGCGACAGUGCGGGACAGGCCUUGCCCGGCGAUACCGAGGCUCCUGGGAAAGCUGGUGCUGCUGCUGCUGCUCCCUGAUCCCCGCGGACAGACCUUGGGACGGAGGCCGGCGCUGGCGGCUGGAGAUGGCGGGCACGAGAUCGGUGCACGAAACCAGGUUCGAGGCGGCGGUGAAGGUGAUCCAGAGUUUGCCGAAAAAUGGUUCAUUCCAGCCAACAAAUGAAAUGAUGCUCAAGUUCUAUAGCUUCUACAAACAGGCAACUGAAGGACCCUGUAAACUUUCAAGGCCUGGGUUCUGGGAUCCUAUUGGAAGAUACAAAUGGGAUGCUUGGAGUUCACUGGGUGAUAUGACCAAAGAGGAAGCCAUGAUUGCAUAUGUUGAAGAAAUGAAAAAGAUUCUUGAAACUAUGCCGAUGACUGAGAAAGUUGAAGAACUGCUGCAUGUCAUAGGUCCAUUUUAUGAAAUUGUAGAGGAUAAAAAGAGUGGCAGGAGCUCUGAUUUCACCUCAGUCCGAUUGGAGAAAAUCUCUAAAUAUUUAGAAGAUCUUGGUAAUGUUCUAACUUCUACUCCAAAUGCCAAAACUGUUAAUGGCAAAGCUGAAAGCAGUGAUAGUGGAGCUGAGUCUGAGGAAGAAGAGGCCCAAGAAGAAAUAAAAACAGCAGACCAGAGUGAUAAUGAUAAGAAAAUCGUCAUGAAACCAUCAGGCCAUGAAAACUUGGAAAUCAUUGUGACCAGUGGCUCUGAUAAAGACAGUUUUGUUCAGGAUAUACAGGCAGACAUUCAUGCCAGUUCAUCCUUGAAUGGCAUAAGGACUGAAGAAGUCAAACCGGUUGAUCAGCACUUGGAGCUACCUGGAAAAACCACUGUCUGUGUUCACCAAGAUACAAAUGAAGAUCAUGUCGAAGAUGUUUCAGGAAUUCAGCAUUUGACAAGUGAUUCAGAUAGUGAAGUUUACUGUGAUUCAAUGGAGCAGUUUGGACAAGAAGAGUCUUUAGACAGCUUUAUGUCAAACAAUGGACCAUUUCAACACUACGUGGAUGGUGAUCUCAAUAAACCCUUGGAAAACUGUGGUUUUCCUGAAGAUGUUCAAGUGUCAACUGGAAAUGGCGGCAUUGGGAAUAUUCAGGUGGUAGCAGUGGAAGGGAAAGGUGAAGUGAAGCACGGAGGCGAAGAUGGCAGAAGUGACAGUGGAGCGCCACCCCGUGAGAAGCGAGCUGGAGAAAGCGAGGAGUUCUCUGGUGUCAGAAGAGGCAGAGGUCAUAGGAUGCAGCAUUUGAGCGAAGGAGCCAAAAGUCGGCAAGUGGGAAGUGGCGGUGACGGUGAACGCUGGGGCUCGGACAGAGGGUCCCGAGGCAGCAUCAAUGAGCAGAUUGCUCUGGUGCUCAUGAGGUUGCAAGAGGACAUGCAGAAUGUCCUUCAGAGACUGCAUAAACUGGAAACACUAACUGCUUCCCAGGCAAAAUCAUCAGAACUGCAGAGCAGCGUUCAGCCCUCCUCACAGAGACCAUCUUGGUGGCCCUUCGAGAUCUCUCCUGGUGCAUUAACUUUUGCUAUCAUAUGGCCUUUUAUUGCCCAGUGGCUGGUGCAUUUAUAUUAUCAGAGAAGGAGAAGGCAGAGUUACAGAGAGGCAGAGGCAGAGAAACAGAGAGAGGUCUUUGAUCUGCUGGUUCAGUCCCCAGUGGCCGCGAUGGCUGGAGCUGGGCUAAUCUGAAGCCAGGAGCCAGGAGCUUCUUCCAGGUCUCCCAGAAAACUGAAUUGAAGAAAGUGGUGUCUUACCCAAGAAGACUGCUGGGCCUGGAUCACCUGAGAAUGAAAUGGAUUGUGGAGUUCACAAGAAAAUCUAGUUAGAUGUCUCUAGUGCCAACUCUCAAGCCUUUUAAGAGGAUUUUCAUAGUAUUAUAAGUGUCAUAGCUAGGUGGAUAAAAGAUCUGUUCAGAUUUGUUGAGGAUCAAAAUGAAAAUGAGGUCACAUCUAUGAAAACAACUAACAUUGGUCAUCCUUCAAAGCAUUAUUCACAUUCCUAAGAUAAAGACCAAGAGAACUAGAUUGUCCACUGUCACUAAAUUAUUAAGGAAUAGAAUCAGAAAGAACAAUGUUGGAAGUUUGCCUCACUUAAAAAUACUGAGGAAGACUAACAAAAAAGAACCCUGAAACAUGAUUUCACCCAUCAUUCUCCUGGAUUUUGGAAUCACUGUGAGGGACUGUUGUUCUGUUCACUGCUACAAAGACUACUCAACAAAUGAAUUGGUAUUUUCAUUUCAACAACUGAUAAUGACUGUAAGCACUGUAGAAGGAGAAACACAAAUCUUGGAAACAUGAAACAAGUAAGGAUUCCAAUGGGACUGGUCUGAAAGGUGGGGAUGGUUUGAAGGGGAGCUGAGAGGGGCCUUAAUAGAUGAUUAUGAUAGGUGGAGGAAAACAGAGAAAGGUGAAAGAAAAGUACUUAAGGAGGAACCAGCAGAAACAGAAGCUCAGAGGCAGGGAAACACACACAGCACUGAGAGAUUAUUCACUUGCUGAUGUGGCUACAGUGUAAGGUAUAUGGAAGAUACAGUGGAAACCCUGAGUCAGAACUUGGAGUGUGGCAACAGAAAUAUUCCAACUGAACUGGAGUAAAGGUUAUACGGUAUUUAAUUUACUAAACAGUACUGAGUUGUAUCACUCUAAAUCAAAAAGUUUGAAAACAAGGCCUGUCAUUGGACAGACUUGGGAAUGAAAAGGAAGGGGUUAAAAAGGACAGAAGAGAUGGAAUUGAUAGGAAUAGUUGAGAGAUACACAGAUCAAGUAGAGAAAAGUUAAAAUGACACGGUUCUCGCGUAAAGACCAAGGAUGAUGGUGGUGAUAUUAUAUGGUCAGAGGACGUACAGGUGGCUCAGAAUUUAUGCAGUCAGGUGGAGGGGAUGGCGUAAGCUUAGGCCAAUGCAGUUCAGAGGUCUGGCCUAGAUAUACACUUGUCAAUGUCCAACAGGAAGUUGGAAUUGCAAGGACAGAUGGCAGGCUUCUGGUUGCCUUUAUGUCUUCCCUCAGUGCUGAAAUCUGAGUCACCUGAGACUAUGGGAUCGAUGAAUAUCAAAAGUGGACAGAACAGCUUCAGAUACAGGUUUAAAUGUUUUAAGAAGAAUGACACAUACUGCUGCAAUUGACUUAGGCCAUAUUUCAGAUUGCUUUUUAAAUAUUAGUAUGCUACAGAUUCCACAAUGGAAAGAUUGAAGAGAAAAAAAAGAGGCUUGCUAAAUGAAAUUCUUGUUUUUAUAGGUCAGGUUUUAAUCUAUAUCAAAUGGAUAAAUUAAAAUAUAAUCUGGAAGUGAUUUAAAAAUUUAAUGAAAGUUCCAAACUUAAUCCUGGUAAAGACCAAAUUAGUAAAAAAUGAUCCAGAAGACACACAAAAAUAUGCAUAGGUAACACAUUUUAAAAUUUCAUAACAUACUUAUCAGAAAAGCUUCCUCCUGUUACAGCCAAAGUGUCAAUCACUGCACAAAUUAAUCAUUUUUCUGUGCUAGAAAAUUCUCAACAAUUCUGUAUGUCAGCGCACACAGGGAAAACAAAAUCACCAACUACUUAAAACUGUAGGAUGCAGAAACAGGACUCAAGUCACGUCUAGGCUGUGACUCACAGCUUUGUUUUGAAGGCCCUGUUGGACUAAGGACGACGUAACCACCUGACCCAAAUCUCUUUGCUUUCGGUCUGGGUCUCCUCAUUGGCUACCACUAGCCAGGGAGUGGCCAGUUUUGCUGUUCGAACUCAGGAAUGACUUCAGAGAUCCGGAAGGCAGAGGAACGAGUGUUGAUUGGAUCACCGGAUGUCAGCCCCAGUGGCUGACAUUUUAAUUUUAGCUCUCGGCAGGCUUCGGCAAGCCCGGCCACCCCGACAAGGCAUUCCACAGGUGCGAUGGGACAGGAAUGAGGGCUGAAGGGUUGAAGCCGCCCUUUCUGCACCCGAGGCAGUCCAGUGGGGCUGAGGGAGUCAGCAGACCUAGGUAGAAUGUCCUCCCCAAGCAGGCUGCCCGACGGCCGGCGUCUCCCCCACCACAGCUUCGUGUGCUGCAAGUGGGACCAUGCAGUUUUAAAUCAGUCCCUUGCAAUCUCCCACCCAGAGCUAGCAGAGGAGGGGGCUGAGCCCUAGGGAGAAUCCGGCUGUCUCAAGAGACCCAACCGCUACCUCGGUUGAGCUCCAAGCCAAUCAACACACAGCAGCUGAACCCGCCCUCCCCGUCCAAUGCGCACCCCCAAAGAAUGACUCCAUGAACAGAUCGGAAUGCCUUAAAAACCCUGGGCACCUCCUCCAAGCCAGCGUCCCAGUCGGUCACUCCGCCUGGUCUCCUCUCGGACCUGACGCUUCACUGUCGCUUGUCAAUGAAAUAAAAGCUUUUUUUUACAAAUUGCUUCCAGGCUUUUUCUUUCUCUACUGAGCCGAGGAAAAGAACAUAGGAAACUCGCUCCGGCCAGCGCCCUCCCCUCCGCGACCCCUUCCAGGCGUCCUACCUUCACAGCAUACAACUUGCCGCCUUUCUGCCCCAGGUACACUUUCCCGAAGGCGCCUCGGCUAAUGGGCUUCACGAUGGUGAAUUCCUCAAUGGACGGCGGCCGUGGCACCGGGAUCUUAUCCACGCACUCCCCUGCCGCCGCGCUCCCUCCACGCUCAUCCUCUCUGGCCGCGGUGGGCUCCAUGGCUGGACAGCGGUGACGGAAGACUGCCGCGGGCCAGCCGCCGAGGGACCAGCCUCAGCCGCCACUCCCGCCAACUGGGUUCAAA